rnacentral:rRNA from 1 species
AGAGUUUGAUUCUGGCGUCAGGAUGAACGCUGACAGAAUGCUUAACACAUGCAAGUCUACUUGAAACACUUUCGGGUGUGGAUGGUGGCGGACGGGUGAGUAACGCGUAAUAACUUGCCCCCUAGUCUGGGACAACUGUUGGAAACGACAGCUAAUACUAGAUAUUAUGAGAUCUUGGCAUCAAGGACUUAUGAAAGCUAUAUGCGCUAGGGGAGAGAUUUUGCGUCCUAUUAGCUAGUUGGUGAGGUAAUGGCUCACCAAGGCGACGAUAGGUAGCCGGCCUGAGAGGGUGAACGGCCACAAGGGGACUGAGACACGGCCCUUACUCCUACGGGAGGCAGCAGUGGGGAAUAUUGGACAAUGGACCAAAAGUCUGAUCCAAGCAAUUCUGUGUGCUUGAUGAAGGCCUUCGGGUUGUAAAGAGCUUUAAGUAGGGAAGAAGAAAGUGACGGUACCUACAGAAUAAGCGACGGCUAAAUACGUGCCAGCAGCGGC